rnacentral:lncRNA from 1 species
UGAUUGAAUCAGGCUUGACAGUCUUUUCGAAUUUGGCUCGUUUCGAACUCAAUUUGAAUCUGAUUGAGGCCCUAUUUGAACCAGAAGAACUUUGAUUUGGAGAGUCCUAGUCCCUUAGGACUCUCUCUCCAGAUCUCAUGCCAUGAAGGGAAUAGGCAAUGGUUUUAUCACUAUUUUUUUUUUCAUGCAUGCGUGAUGAGAAAGGGGGCGC